GAGCCUUGCUUGCUAUUGGCAUCACUGGGAGGAAUUGAACCCCAGGCCAAUUGGCUGUGUGGCCCAGC